CAUAAUAGAGCUACUCCUUAUAGACAUAGGAUAGCCAUUUUCUUUCAAACCACCACAUACAGGAAUAAAUGAAGAAGAGGGAAGUAGGACAUUGGGCUGAGAACUAAAGAUGAGAAAAGAGAAGUGUUGACAUGCUUGUGAGCAUUAUGGUCUGUGUUUCUGGAAACACUGGAUUUGUCCGGUCUCUACCUUAAUUUGGCUUUGCUGAACAAACUUUAUGUGUGCUACCCACCGUCUUGCCAUUUUCUCCAAGGUCUGACUGUUUCUGAGAGAGUAAUAACCUAGCUAUUCUUUAAACACACCCAAUUUUCUCUGAUUUUAGCAUGUUCAUUUCUUGAGCCAUGACUUUCUAGCCCUUUACAUAAGCAUCCUUACUUUGUGAAACCUCAGAAUAAAACCUUUAAAUUGCUGAACCA
rnacentral:lncRNA from 1 species